CUCUGCGUCCUGGGGUUACAC
rnacentral:tRNA from 1 species